AACGAACGCUGGCGGCAGGCUUAACACAUGCAAGUCGAGCGAAGACUUCGGUCUUAGCGGCGGACGGGUGAGUAACGCGUGGGAAUAUGCCCUUUGCUACGGAAUAGUCCUGGGAAACUGGGGGUAAUACCGUAUGUGCCCUUCGGGGGAAAGAUUUAUCGGCAAAGGAUUAGCCCGCGUUGGAUUAGGUAGUUGGUGGGGUAAUGGCCUACCAAGCCGACGAUCCAUAGCUGGUUUGAGAGGAUGAUCAGCCACACUGGGACUGAGACACGGCCCAGACUCCUACGGGAGGCAGCAGUGGGGAAUCUUAGACAAUGGGGGCAACCCUGAUCUAGCCAUGCCGCGUGAGUGAUGAAGGCCUUAGGGUUGUAAAGCUCUUUCAGCUGGGAAGAUAAUGACGGUACCAGCAGAAGAAGCCCCGGCUAACUCCGUGCCAGCCGCCGCCGUAACAC
rnacentral:rRNA from 1 species